UACGUAGGGGGCAAGCGUUGUCCGGAUUUAUUGGGCGUAAAGAGCUCGUAGGUGGUUCGGUAAGUCGGAUGUGAAAUCUCCAGGCUCAACCUGGAGGGGUCAUUCGAUACUGCCGUGACUAGAGGUCGGUAGGGGAGUGUGGAAUUCCUGGUGGAGCGGUGAAAUGCGCAGAUAUCAGGAGGAACACCAGUGGCGAAGGCGGCGACCUGGGCAGAUACUGACGCUGAGGUGCGAAAGCGUGGGGAGCAAACAGG
rnacentral:rRNA from 1 species